rnacentral:lncRNA from 1 species
ACAAGAUAAUGCAUCAUCUCCAUUGAUUUUGGUGUAAUGAAAAUCCCUUUAAAUUAAUUUGAAUUGCUGGUAAUUCUGCCGAUUCAAUGCACCAAAAAAAUCAAGAGUUAUUAAUACUUAGGUAUAUGAACAAUGGUGACUGUGUAAUUGAAAUCGGCGAGGAGAAGAUAUAUUUUCAAACUUUGCUACGUUAUAUAUUGAACAAGGAAACCAGAGAAUUAGGUUUUUGAAUUAUUGAAAUUGAAAUCAAU